GUGUGUUGAUUAAGGAUACAUACUUAGUUUGCAAACAUGAAUCUAAUGCUAAGUUAUAAGGGACUUUCACAUAAUCGUUAGGAACUUAUAAUUAAAAGUAGUGGAGAUUGCUAAUCACAAUCGUGUUAAGUAAAUUCUUGGUUGGAGUAUCAUGCAGUUCAUAAUUACAAUAGCCUUGUCAAUGCUUAUGAUUUCCAUGAAACUUAAUGAUCUUUGAAUGUAUCUCUAUCAUGCUGUUCAUAUAGGGAACUUGAGAAGAAUAAUUUGGUUGCGAUGCGUUGUCCAUUCAAUUCAAUGAAGUUAGGGAAAUCUAAGAGUUAAUUAGUGCAUUCAUGAUUAAUUUGGGGCAUUGUCAUUCAUGGUUUAAAGAAACAAUACUGGAAAUCGAUUUAUGUUGCAUGUGUUCAUGUGUGUCAGGUUUUUGAAUUUCCUUUGUCUUCCAUAUGCAACUUAAUUUAUCUUCAGAUUGCAUGGGCAAGACAGAGUUUUCCAGUCUAGCCUGUGGAUUUGAAUCAGAAUUACUAGACAACAGAUGUAAUAUAAGGCACUUAUGAAUAUCAAAUGCAUGACGAGGUUUUUACUUUCUCAGUGCCCCCAUCAGAACCUCAAAGAGCAAGGUAUCAUGGUCAUAAAUGUUGCGUUAAGCAUGUUAGGUACUUGAUGAAGAACGUAUCGUUAUAAAUCCUGUCCGGUUUUGGUGUUGGCCUAUGGGAAUCGAGAGCAAUAAAUCCACUUACAUUAGAGUUGGUCCAUAAUGGUGUCUUUCUAACACUGUUUUAUACAUGCUUUGCAUUCUGCGGUAGGUUUCACAUUAGAGUUUUUUAUAGUGCAACAUUAAUAAUAGAGAAGAAAAAUAUUUCUAUGACACAAAUACACUGUUACCGUAGUGUUGGAUGCCAUGAAAGUUACUCAUAUCACAAUUUCCUCUUCUCUUUUUUUCCUUUUCGAUGGCAGCAUCCAUGACCCUUUUGACUUUGAUCCACUCUCACUAG
rnacentral:lncRNA from 1 species